CCCUUGUGGAGGAGGACGCCGAAGGUGGGGCUAAUGACUGGGGUGAAGUCGUAACAAGGUAGCCGUACCGGAAGGUGCGGCUGGAUCACCUCCUAACAGGGAGACAACAAAAUGUUUAAUAUUAUUAUUUUGUCACCUUAGGUCGAUCGGUAUCUCACGUUCUUAAUUCAUUAAGAAUUUCAUUUCCUAAGUUUUUCUAGGUCACACCCAUUAUUUUUCCUGGGCCAUUAGCUCAGGUGGUUAGAGCGCACCCCUGAUAAGGGUGAGGUCCCUGGUUCAAGUCCAGGAUGGCCCAUAUCUCUAUGUUGGGGGUAUAGCUCAGUUGGUAGAGCGCCUGCUUUGCAAGCAGGAUGUCAGCGGUUCGAGUCCGCUUACCUCCACUGAUUACCACCUCUUCCAUAAUCUGUAGAAAGGAAAUGUUUUGAGGUGUGAUCAAAUUCUGAACGAAUCUAGCUUCCUAAUGAAAUCAUUAAGAUGCUGGACUCAUUGAAUUAAUUUCAUUGUUUUCAGAGAACCUUGACAACUGCAUAGAUUAUUUUUAAAGACAAUAAGCAUCUUUAAUGAUGCAGAUUUAUUAUUUGUGCGAAUGCAUUAAAUAACAAUUCUAUUAAGCUGAUGCUUCAAUUUUGAAGUUAUUGGUCAAGCUACAAAGGGCUCACGGAGGAUACCUAGGCACACAGAGGCGAUG
rnacentral:misc_RNA from 1 species